rnacentral:rRNA from 1 species
UACGGGGGGGGCAAGCGUUGUUCGGAAUUACUGGGCGUAAAGGGCUUGUAGGUGGCCAACUAAGUCAGACGUGAAAUCCCUCGGCUUAACCGGGGAACUGCGUCUGAUACUGGAUGGCUUGAGUGUGGGAGAGGGAUGCGGAAUUCCAGGUGUAGCGGUGAAAUGCGUAGAUAUCAGGAGGAACACCGGUGGCGAAGGCAGCUCUCUGGGACGGUACUGACGCUCAUGCACGAAAGCGUGGGGAGCAAACAGG